rnacentral:rRNA from 1 species
CCUACGGGUGGCAGCAGUGGGGAAUAUUGCACAAUGGGGGAAACCCUGAUGCAGCAACGCCGCGUGAGUGAUGACGUCCUUCGGUUUGUAAAGCUCUGUCUUCAGGGACGAUAAUGUCGGUACCUGAGGAGGAAGCCCCGGCUAACUACGCGCCAGCGGCGGCGGGAAUACGUAGGGGGCGAGCGUUGUCCGGAUUUACUGGGCGUAAAGGGAGCGUAGGCGGACCUUUAAGUGAGAUGUGAAAUACUCGGGCUCAACUUGAGUGCUGCAUUUCAAACUGGACGUCUAGAGUGCAGGAGAGGAGAAUGGAAUUCCUAGUGUAGCGGUGAAAUGCGUAGAGAUUAGGAAGAACACCAGUGGCGAAGGCGAUCUUCUGGACUGUAACUGACGCUGAGGCUCGAAAGCGUGGGGAGCAAACAGGAUUAGAUACCCGAGUAGUC